rnacentral:rRNA from 1 species
GACGAACGCUGGCGGCGUGCCUAACACAUGCAAGUCGAACGGGGUAAUUACUUCGGUGAUUACUUAGUGGCGAACGGGUGAGUAACGCGUGAGAAACCUGCCUUUCAGUGGGGGACAACAGUUGGAAACGACUGCUAAUACCGCAUAAUGUUAUUUGGGGGCAUCCCUGAAUAACCAAAGAUUUAUUGCUGAAAGAUGGUCUCGCGUCUGAUUAGCUAGUUGGUGAGGUAACGGCUCACCAAGGCGACGAUCAGUAGCCGGUCUGAGAGGAUGAACGGCCACAUUGGGACUGAGAUACGGCCCAG